rnacentral:rRNA from 1 species
GCUUGUCUCAAAGAUUAAGCCAUGCAUGUCUAAGUAUAAGCAAUUAUACAGCGAAACUGCGAAUGGCUCAUUAUAUAAGUUAUCGUUUAUUUGAUAGUGCCUUACUACUUGGAUAACCGUGGUAAUUCUAGAGCUAAUACAUGCUAAAAACCCCGACUUCGGAAGGGGUGUAUUUAUUAGAUACAAAACCAAUGCCCUUCGGGGCUCCUUGGUGAUUCAUGAUAACUUAACGAAUCGCAUGGCCUUGCGCCGGCGAUGGUUCAUUCAAAUUUCUGCCCUAUCAACUUUCGAUGGUAGGAUAGUGGCCUACCAUGGUGGCAACGGGUAACGGGGAAUUAGGGUUCGAUUCCGGAGAGGGAGCCUGAGAAACGGCUACCACAUCCAAGGAAGGCAGCAGG